AUGAUAUAUCAGUUCAGGGGUGGUCUCAGAGAAGAAAUUCAGCUCGCUGUUGUCCUCUUUGAGCCGUUGAGAUACGAUGAGUUCUACAACAUGGCACUGAAGCAAGAGGCUGCUCAGUUGAGGUGUGAUGCUUCCAGGAAGCGAGUCAGAGAUGUUACUCCUUCUUCCUCUACUCAAUUGGCCAAGCAGCAGAAGUUUUGGCUUCCUCCUCCUCCGUUCCGUCAGCCAUUUCAGCAGAAGAGCAAAGGUGGCAGUGGUUCUUCCCACCCACCCAACCCUGGCUUUCAGAACAAGACUUCGUCUUAA
rnacentral:rRNA from 1 species